UGCCUAACACAUGCAAGUCGAGCGGGGUAGCAAUAUCCAGCGGCGGACGGGUGAGGAAUACAUAGGAAUCUGCCUUUAGGUGGGGGAUAGCUUGGGGAAACUCAAGGUAAUACCGCAUGAUCUCGCAAGAGCAAAGUGGGGGACCGCAAGGCCUCACGCCUUUAGAGGAGCCUAUGUCUGAUUAGCUAGUUGGUGAGGUAAUGGCUCACCAAGGCGACGAUCAGUAACUGGUCUGAGAGGACGAUCAGUCACACCGGAACUGAGACACGGUCCGGACUCCUACGGGAGGCAGCAGUGGGGAAUAUUGGACAAUGGGCGAAAGCCUGAUCCAGCAAUUCCGCGUGUGUGAAGAAGGCCUUCGGGUUGUAAGACAC
rnacentral:rRNA from 1 species